GACGAACGCUGGCGGCGUGCCUAAUACAUGCAAGUCGAGCGCAGGAAGCUGACGGAACUCUUCGGAGGGAAGGCAGUGGAAUGAGCGGCGGACGGGUAAGUAACACGUAAGGAACCUGCCUCAAGGAUUGGGAUAACUCCGAGAAAUCGGAGCUAACACCGGAUAGUUCAUCGGACCGCAUGGUCCGUUGAUGAAAGGCGCUCCGGCGUCACCUUGAGAUGGCCUUGCGGUGUAUUAGCUAGUUAGUGGGGUAACGGCCCACCAAGGCGACGACGCAUAGCCGACCUGAGAGGGUGAUCGGCCACACUGGGACUGAGACACGGCCCAGACUCCUACGGGAGGCAGCAGUAGGGAAUCUUCCACAAUGGACGAAAGUCUGAUGGAGCAACGCCGCGUGAGUGAUGAAGGUUUUCGGAUCGUAAAACUCUGUUGUAAGGGAAGAACACGUACGAGAGGGAAUGCUCGUACCUUGACGGUACCUUACGAGAAAGCCACGGCUAACUACGUGCCAGCCGCCGCCGUAA
rnacentral:rRNA from 1 species